rnacentral:misc_RNA from 1 species
UAAUAAAUAAUUUUAAAUAAAAAAAUUUAAAAUACAAUAAAAGUGUACGGAAGAAAUACCAUUCAUCACUUGUAUCCAAUAUAAGCAAUUGGAUUGGAGAGAUUAAUUAACUUUGAAAAGUAUAGAGCUAAUAUUGAGUGUGACUACACAUAUAUGUGAUGUCUUACCAAAUAAAUUAGUUGUCAUGAAUUUGCAGUAUUUUG